rfam:Neotoma lepida isolate 417 scaffold_26, whole genome shotgun sequence.
GGAGCUGUCACUCAGUGGUAGAGUGUUUGCCUAGCAUGCAUAAGACCCUGGGCUCAAACUCCAGCACCUUCA